rnacentral:rRNA from 1 species
CCUACGGGAGGCAGCAGUCGAGAAUCAUUCACAAUGGGGGAAACCCUGAUGGUGCGACGCCGCGUGGGGGAAUGAAGGUCUUCGGAUUGUAAACCCCUGUCAUGUGGGAGCAAAUUAAAAAGAUAGUACCACACGAGGAAGAGACGGCUAACUCUGUGCCAGCAGCCGCGGUAAUACAGAGGUCUCAAGCGUUGUUCGGAAUCACUGGGCGUAAAGCGUGCGUAGGCUGUUUCGUAAGUCGUGUGUGAAAGGCGCGGGCUCAACCCGCGGACGGCACAUGAUACUGCGAGACUAGAGUAAUGGAGGGGGAACCGGAAUGCUCGGUGUAGCAGUGAAAUGCGUAGAUAUCGAGAGGAACACUCGUGGCGAAGGCGGGUUCCUGGACAUUAACUGACGCUGAGGCACGAAGGCCAGGGGAGCGAAAGGGAUUAGAUACCCUAGUAGUC